AUUGACUUGGCGUAAUAGACUAUUCGCUGAGGAAUUCUAGUCUUCGGACUAGAGCCGGGUUGGAUUAAAGGAAGCUCCUAAUCCUAAUGUCUAUUUUUAAGAUUAGAUCUCAAAUCAGGUAGGACUACCCGCUGAACUUAAGCAUAUCAAUAAGCGGAGGAAAAGAAACUAACAAGGAUUCCCCUAGUAGCGGCGAGCGAAGCGGGAAGAGCUCAAAUUUAUAAUCUGGCACCUUCGGUGUCCGAAUUGUAAUCUCUAGAAGUGUUUUCCGCGUUGGACCGCACACAAGUCUGUUGGAAUACAGCGGCAUAGUGGUGAGACCCCCGUAUAUGGUGCGGACGCCCAACGCUUUGUGAUACACUUUCGAAGAGUCGAGUUGUUUGGGAAUGCAGCUCAAAUUGGGUGGUAAAUUCCAUCUAAAGCUAAAUAUUGGCGAGAGACCGAUAGCGAACAAGUACCGUGAGGGAAAGAUGAAAAGCACUUUGGAAAGAGAGUUAACAGUACGUGAAAUUGUUGGAAGGGAAACGCUUGAAGUCAGACUUGCUUGCCGAGCAAUCGGUUUGCAGGCCAGCAUCAGUUUUCCGGGGUGGAUAAUGGUAGAGAGAAGGUAGCAGUUUCGGCUGUGUUAUAGCUCUCUGCUGGAUACACCUUGGGGGACUGAGGAACGCAGUGUGCCUUACGGCGGAUUUCUCGAG
rnacentral:rRNA from 1 species